CGCAAAGCGAUGACGGAGACUAGUACGCAGGUCCUAUCUGUUUUUCAGGGAGAAGAUGCCACAGACUGCGAGCAUCUUUAGCACGAUAGCUGCCGAAUUCACUCCGUAGCCGCACUCUGAACCGCAUUGGCGCAGUAGGAGCAGCCGGGUCAUUCCCGUUACCAAUGAACUGAAGUGAGGCAGAAGUCUUGCUCGCAGUUAGUGAUAAUGUCACGGUUUUGUCACAAGCGAGCAAUCUGUCUAACAAGGGUGGUACCGCGAGAAAAAAGUAACUCGUCCCUUUU
rnacentral:ncRNA from 1 species